rnacentral:tRNA from 1 species
GGGGUUGUGGCUCAGUGGUAGAGUGCUCACCUAGCAUGUGGGAGGCACUGGGUUCGACUCUCAGCACCA